UUCAAACCACUUAUGGUUUCUAGAAAAUUAAUUUAAAUUUGAACAAGGUCUAUGUUCAGUAUUUUAUAUCUUAAAGUUUCUUAUGGCCAGGCAACUUAUCAACGUUAUGCAGCUUAGUUAUUUCAAUUUAAACCGAAUCGUAGCAAUGUUCUAAAGGCAGUAACUUUUUACAUCGCCGCGAACUUUAAGGAUGGUUUUAUGGCUUUUACGGCUUGCUUUCCACCUAUUGUUGUGUGUGCUUCGACCCACAGCAUCUCCCUGCGGGAUAAUCGCUGGCCAAGACCAACAAGCUCAGCAAGGUCACUGCGGAGGUGACCCUGCCCUCCACCCUUUCUCCCCUUCACCCAGUUGCCAUUGAUGAUGCUGCUCCGGCUGGGCGAUCCCAAAGGGUUUUCAAGCUCGCAACUUUCGGGGUCGAUAAUGCUGGGGAGCACUCGCCACACUGAGAGGAAAGCAACACACAAAUAGUGCAAUUAAAAUAAAGUCAGAUGUGAAUUAAU